UCCGGUUUGUCACCGGCAGUCUCGCAUGAGUCCCCAACUAAAUGCUGGCAACAUGCGACGGGGGUUGCGCUCGUUGCGGGACUUAACCCAACAUCUCACGACACGAGCUGACGACAGCCAUGCACCACCUAGUUUUGUGCCCUUGCGGGAAGCUCCCUUUCAGGAGCGGUCACUAACUUUCAAGCCCUGGUAAGGUUCCUCGCGUAUCAUCGAAUUAAACCACAUGCUCCUCCGCUUGUGCGGGCCCCCGUCAAUUCCUUUGAGUUUCGACCUUGCGGCCGUACUCCCCAGGCGGACGACUUAAUGCGUUAGCUGCGGCACGGAAGGGACUAACCCCCCCACACCUAGUCGUCAUCGUUUACAGCGUGGACUA
rnacentral:misc_RNA from 1 species